UACGUAGGCAGCGAGCGUUGUUCGGAGUUACUGGGCGUAAAGGGUGUGUAGGCGGUUUUCUAAGUUUGGUGUGAAAUCUCCCGGCUUAACCGGGAGGGUGCGCCGAAAACUGGGAGACUAGAGUGCGGGAUGGGAGAGUAGAAUUCCUGGUGUAGCGGUAAUAUGCGUAGAUAUCGGGAGGAACACCAGUGGCGAAGGCGGCUCUCUGGGGUAUUUCUGACGCUGAGGCACGAAAGCCAGGGGAGCGAGCGGG
rnacentral:rRNA from 1 species